rnacentral:rRNA from 1 species
GAUGAACGCUGGCGGCGUGCCUAAUACAUGCAAGUCGAGCGAACAGACUAGGAGCUUGCUCCUCUGACGUUAGCGGCGGACGGGUGAGUAACACGUGGAUAACCUACCUAUAAGACUGGGAUAACUUCGGGAAACCGGAGCUAAUACCGGAUAACAUGUUGAACCGCAUGGUUCAACAGUGAAAGACGGUCUUGCUGUCACUUAUAGAUGGAUCCGCGCCGCAUUAGCUAGUUGGUAAGGUAACGGCUUACCAAGGCAACGAUGCGUAGCCGACCUGAGAGGGUGAUCGGCCACACUGGAACUGAGACACGGUCCAGACUCCUACGGGAGGCAGCAGUAGGGAAUCUUCCGCAAUGGGCGAAAGCCUGACGGAGCAACGCCGCGUGAGUGAAGAAGGUCUUCGGAUCGUAAAACUCUGUUAUUAGGGAAGAACAAAUGUGUAAGUAACUAUGCACGUCUUGACGGUACCUAAUCAGAAAGCCACGGCUAACUACGUG